AUUGAACGCUGGCGGCAUGCCUUACACAUGCAAGUCGAACGGCAGCACGGGUGCUUGCACCUGGUGGCGAGUGGCGAACGGGUGAGUAACACAUCGGAACGUACCUUAUCGUGGGGGAUAACGCAGCGAAAGCUGUGCUAAUACCGCAUACGUCCUGAGGGGGAAAGCGGGGGAUCGCAAGACCUCGCGCGAUUGGAGCGGCCGAUGCCUGAUUAGCUUGUUGGUGGGGUAAAAGCCCACCAAGGCGACGAUCAGUAGCUGGUCUGAGAGGACGAUCAGCCACACUGGGACUGAGACACGGCCCAGACUCCUACGGGAGGCAGCAGUGGGGAAUUUUGGACAAUGGGGGCAACCCUGAUCCAGCAAUGCCGCGUGAGUGAAGAAGGCCUUCGGGUUGUAAAGCUCUUUUGUCAGGGAAGAAACACCGGCUCUAACACAGUCCGGGAAUGACGGUACCUGAAGAAUAAGCACCGGCUAACUACGUGCCAGCCGCCGCAGUAA
rnacentral:rRNA from 1 species